rnacentral:lncRNA from 1 species
AUGGACUGGCGCGCGUUGCUGGUCUUUGCGGCAUUUGUGGCUCAGGUCACCUCUGUGGGAAACGGCAGUAAUGCCCGUCGAUACUCGCCGAAGGGUGGCGUCGCAAAAAAACCCUCAGGAAGACCUCUUCCUCGAUCUGGGCAGUCUGGGCUUAUGAGAAAAACAAGCUCAGCCAGACGACAGCUACCAGUGAGAAGCAACUCCAACCUCCAAUCACCAGGACAGCAAUCACCUCUAAGAGGCAGCUCCAUCCCCCGAUCAACGGGAUCAGGACGACAAUUGCCUGUGAGAGGCAACCCCAGAUUCACGAACGGAAGAAAACGACAAUCGCCCCCGAGAGGUGGCCCCAGAAAUUCGACCGGAACAGGGCAGCUUUCGCCCCAGAAAAGCCUCUCCAAGAAUUCGUAUCGACCUCCGCCAGGGAGAAGCUACUCCAAGAAUUCAGGCUCGAACUCGUAUCCCGCUCAAAGUGGAGGACCGCGAUCUCCCGGACGACAAGAGGCCGAGCAGGUGGAUCCGAAAAAUUUAGUGUUGAACCUGAAGGAGCUGGACGCGGCAAUAAAUUCGGGAAAAUGGACUGCAGAGGAGGAAGGCUACCUGAAAGAACUGAAGGGAAUGUGGUCGGAUACCGUAGAGUUGAGGGACACCGGUCUCGACCUCGUGAAGCAAAUCGGCCAAUCGUUGAGUGAGCACGGGGAGGAACUGUCCAAGGACCCCGAGAGUCGCGAACGCCUCAAGAAAAUAUGCACCGAAGCCCAGGGUACCUUCGCUCCCAGCUCCAACGAGUUCUUGGGACAUGUCUAUCGUGUUGGAAGGCAAAUUUUAGAUAACCGAGGGGACAAAGGACAGCGGGCCAAGCUCAAGCAAGAUAUGGAAUCACUAGGAGAACGGAAACAGACCCUCUUUGCUCAUCUGAGUGAUUACAUGAUCCCGCUUCAGGGUGAGCUCAUGAAAAUGUUGAUAGGCAUGGGUGGACUCUCAGCCACCGAGAAGGAAACUCUCCAGUGGUCAGACGACGACGACUUCUGAUGAUAUUAUACACUAUUUUGACGAUGAAUAACACUGAUUUGACUUCAUUUUUGGAUGAGAAACCACUAUUUCUGGUUCAACACGUGUGCUGUUAUUUUCAAGUUGCAGAUAUGGAUUGCAUUUUGCAAAAAGGAACCAUCAGCAUUGCAAUGAUGCUAAGAUUGUGCAACUUCAUCCUUUGCAAUAAAAUUGUGGAAAUUGUGAAAAACUAGGAAAUUUAGAUGGUAAUUUUUGUCUUAAAUUUACAGUUUUUACGAGUAAAAUAGAAACUAUUAGGAGAUAAUCGGGGUUUUCCUCCAAAGACAAAAGAAGUUGCACAUAAUCUUAGUAACAUAUUGCAAUGCUAGUGGUUCCUUUUUGCAAAAUGCAAUCCAUAUGUGCUUCAAUGGAUGAGGCGGAAUUAGUAUCCCUCCAUUGAAAAAUGCGAUCUAAUUGGACCUCUACUCGUUUUAUUAGGAGGAAGCACUGUUUCUGACUCAUUGUCAGAUAUGAAAGCACCCAUCUACAGAGGGAAAUUAAUGGCACAAAUGGACUACAUUAUAGCCAAGCUCAAGAAAUAUAUUUAAGUUUCAAAAUUGCGUGGAGCUGUAUGGUAGAAAGAAAGUUUGAACUCACGUUUUGAUGCUUAAAAAUUUGAUUAAGUUGAAUAUAGAAUAGUUAAAAUAUAAUAUAUUAAGUUAAUUAUAGUACAGUAUAGUUCAAAUAUAGGAUAGUUACUUUUUCACAGGUUAUAAAUCUAGUUUCAGGUAAAAUUAUUAUAAUAUCUCAAUUUCAUCAAAAUCUGCACUUAUGCUCCUUGUUAGCCCCUGUGCUCCAAAGCCUCUCGUUAUAUAUGCAGGCAAUAUGCUGAGGAAAAUUGUUAUUUCAUGAGUGAACCCUACUCAUCUAAGCAUACAGGUUCCUGACUAAUGCGAUAAACCCAGAAUAUGCCUUCAUCAUUCGGAGAGUAUCUGCAUGGCGUGUGGUGUGCUCACGAUCUCAUUUUUUCUUGAGUCACGCGAAAGGCAAGCUACCGCGAUUUUGUCAGGGAAAAAACUCGAAAAUUUCAAGGCCAAAAUUUACUCAAGGCAUUGUAGAGGGGCGGAUCAUUGCAAACAUUUUUCAUUUGGACCUAAUGAGUUUAAUCGGUAUUCACAAGUCUCGCACACUUUGGGAAAAAAAACCUACACACUUUCCAAAUUCAAUCAGCUUUGUGCUUACGGAACUUUGUGCUUAUAUACUGAAAAAUGAUGAAAUAUUCAGCUUUUGAUAUUUUUUGGUAAAAGUAUUUGAAGUGUAAAGUGCACGCAUGCAAUGGAUUCAGUUUACUCUGUCAAAAUUAUUUUUCCUAUAUUUAAAUCCAUUAUGAUUCUAGGCAAGACAACCUACCUUACCUGCAAGAAUCGAUUGUUUCACAUACAUUUAAAAGCAGUGGCGUGGCGUGCUUUGCGAUGCAUAGAUUGAUCCGUAAUUUAAACCUAAGGAAAAGGAUCGAUAAACUGGGUGUUCAAAUCGAACGCCUUAAAGAUCGAUUUUUUAUCAUAUAGCUUUAAAUGGAGAACUAUCGGUAAUCGAUCAUUCUCGUCUCGCCACUGUUUAAAAGGCGAGAAAACGUCGUUGCCGACUUGAUUUUGUUCACCAACUGAUCAUAAUUCAGUGUGUUAUCGAUGAAAUGUCCAUUUAUAGCUCUGAGUUUACACUGUUAAAAGCAACCUCAGAUUGACGUCAUAAAGGUAUUAGGCUCACAUUAUGGAACAGAAUGAUUUCAAACUGGUGAGGUCAUUGAGACUCACUUUCACGAGGUAAAAAUCUGAGUUAAAUUUUCACUAAAAUUUUUUUCAAAUUGUCUCACGAACCCCGCGUUGCCACGUUGUCACGUUGUCAAUGGGCAAAUAAUAUUUGAGGGCUGCUGACGCGGUAUAGCCUGAUGCCUGAAAAUCUCUGCGUUUUGGUUUUGGCACCGCGGGAAGUCAUCGCGCCGAGAUAGAAAAACGAAUCACGUCAAACCUUGAGGUGCUUACGUUUUCAAUUGACGCUAGCUCCAUUUCGAUCCAAGAGCAACGAACGAAUCACGCCAGUGUCUAGCGUGUGACAACAGAGUACUUUUGAGGAAAAAAGGCAGUUGAAGGUCGUGUAAAUGCUGGAAUGAAGGCGAGAUCCGACGGAGGUUUUUACGCUCAGAACUGCGGCCAUGAAUUUUCAAACGAUUCUCAUUUUUCUGACUCUUCUCUCGGUAAGUGGAAUUAGUGAACAUUAUUUUGGCACCAUAAAACAAAAAACAUUAAAUUUAAGCUUCGAAAUCGGUGCUAAUUUUGCAAUUAUUUACUGUCCAUUUGAAGUUUUAACAUCUUGGUCGUAAUAUGAAUUUUAUGUGAAGCACUUACUUCUUCCGAGACUGAAGCAAAAUUCAUCACUCACGAUUCGGUAGACAUGAGGCUAUGACUAAAGUUGAAAGAUGUGUAUUUCUAUUGCAUCGUUUCAAAAUCCCCGAUAAUGUUUAUCAUUUUUUGACAGGAAAACUAACCAAAAUAUACCUUAAAUCUAUUUGUAAAUAUUUUUGGAAAAUUGAGGACAAUAAUUUACAGGAGAUUUCAAGAAAAACUAGGUACUCUGCUAAAAAAGACUAUGCUGGUGAGUGAAGCAUGGUAUCAUGUUCAUACCAACAUGAUACCAACGUGGAACAAUAUUGAGACCAAGUUGGUAUUAUGUUCAUACCAUGUCGAUAUCAUGUUGGAGUUAGCAUAGUACCAUAUUUUACUCUCCACCAUGGUACCAUAUUUAUCAUUUUUAGCAGUAUCGAUCAGUUUCAUAUUUAGCGUGUUGAACAGUUUUGAAACAAAAAAAAACUAAAAAAAUAAGCGGAAACUUGCAACGUCGCAAUUAGAGGCACUUUUUUACUUUAGUCUUCGAAAUACUGAUCUUUAGAAGUACUGUGCUCCCGUGCUGAAGAAAAACACCGUAUGAACCUUCAGGCAUUGCCAAAUUUCCUUCGAUUAAACACACAUUUUUGAUAAAACUUAUGAUUAUUUUUCUUCCAAUUUUUUUCGAAAUUUCACCUAAAGUCCCUGGGGAUUGCGGUGGAAAAUAUUCAUAAAUCUCCUUAAAAAUACACAUUUUAUGGGAGGAAAAUUGGCAACUCUCGAAUGUUCAUAUCUCGCCUUUCCUUAGCACGGCAGUGUAAGAAGCAAUACUGGUUGCCUCCUCUAAAAUACCCUUCUUACUUUACAUGUUGACAAUGUUUCGAUAUGAAAUGUACGUUUUCAGCAUUUCCUUAGCCAAUACUUUUCAUAGCUCCACCUAUUCUAUUCAUACCUCUUUGACAGGGCAUCCUGACAGAUCCCGGUGACCGGUCACAAGUUGGAGACCAGAGACGACCGCUCACCGGGGGAGAUGCAACCCCAUCGAGAAAGCGCGCAGCACCCUCGGGCGGAGACUCAACCCCUCAGAAACAGCGUUUCGUGAGUGGAAAUGCUACCCCCUCAAGACAGUGGCUGGAAGAAGACGUACCCCUACCUAGAAAACGUCCCGCAAGCCCUGGUGUAGAUCCAUCCGCACCACGCCACCGCUUUGCCGGCGGAGACACGGCAUCAUAUCGACAGAAAGGAGAAUCGGGCCCACCAAGACGACCUCCUAGCUCUGAGAAAGAUGCAAGCUCACCAAGACGUCCUGCUACCUCAAGGAGAGACGUUUCCCCAUCAAGAUCGCACCCCAGCAGUCCUACUAGAGUCGAAACCUCGUCCAGACGGCCGUCCAUCACCUUGGAGAGAGAACAAUCAACUUCGAGACAACGGCCUCCCAGUUCGGUGAGAGAUUCAUCUAUUUUAUACCUAAAAAUUCCUUCUUGAGAUCGGACAGAGUCG